rnacentral:rRNA from 1 species
AUUGAACGCUGGCGGCAGGCCUAACACAUGCAAGUCGGGCGCGCGGCGGACGGGUGAGUAAUGUAUGGGGACUGCCUGAUGGAGGGGGAACACUACUGGAAACGGUAGCUAAUACCGUAUACCAUAAGAUAUCCUAUAUGUGAUUAGCUUGUAGGUGAGGUAAAGGCUCACCUAGGCGACAAUCACUAGCUUGUCUGAGAGGAUGAUCAGCCACACUGGGACUGAGACACGGCCCAGACUGCCAGGGAGGCAGCAGUGGGGAAUAUUGCACAAUGGGCGCAAGCCUGAUGCAGCCAGGCCGCGUGUAUGAAGAAGGCCUUAGGGUUGUAAAGUACUUGCAGUCGGUAGGCGUUACCGACAGAAGAAGCACCGGCUAACUCCGUGCCAGCAGCCGCGGUAAUUC